GAUCUCGCCAGUAGGCCACGGCACUCUGAUACAUCUCCAGAGUUUGCUCAGUGGGGCACGUGCGUGUGGUGGAGAGUCACAUUCACGCGCGCGGAGGCGUCACACACACCAUCCAAGAGCCCAUAGAGUCAAAGUCGAAGUAUCUUCCGGGAAUCCGCGGAUGAUAUCGAUUAUCUAUCGCACACCGGGCAAAAGCAACUUAUAGUGACAAAUCUGAAGUGUUUAAGAGAUGGAGGAAACCCCAGCCAAUGAGAAGUCUUGUCAGACUGAUGAGGUCAUAGGUGAGGCAGUAGUACCCGGGCCUGACCAUGCGAGCAAGACGCUAG